CUCAGAAGUCAUAUUGCACUAGUAAACUGGAAGCACGAAAUUGAUGGAUCAUGCCAGUGUGUAUAUCAUCUUGGCGGGUUACUAUGACAUAUUAGGUCUCUGAUGGCCACGUCUCAGCAAAUUUUGUUUGAGCUUCACUAAGAGGCCCAUGAAGGCUUUAAGAAAAAAAGUAGAUUCCGGAUUACUCUUGCUUGGUAACAGAGGAAGGAGGGUCUAGGAGGCAUGGGUUCUGGGUUAUGAAGACAGCUCUUCAUAAAUAGUAAAUUCCAUAGGAAUGGAAUUAUGGAACUGUAGAACCCACAUGGAGUUCAAAGUAGAGGAAGUGACACAAGCAUUUACAUAUAGCUUAUUCAUGAUGUGUGAGGGAAUUGGUCUUGUGAGUAGUCAUGGCUUCUUACAAACUGUAAGCCUAAGCUACAGAAUUAGGGCUGAGAAUUGGGGAAAUGGGAUCAUAGCUUGCAUAGGACAUAUUUAAGAGAAAAUUGAUAAAUCAAUAGGUUGAUCUGUUGGCCUCCAAAUUAGGGCCGAGUGGCCCUCUAAAGAAAAGAGGGACGAUUAGACCUCAAAAUAUCUCAGAAUUUAUCUACUGUUUAAGCGGUGCGAUUGGGGAUUUUGGUAUUCCCGGACAGAACAGGGCAGGAGUUUAGACAACACACGAUUGGCAGCAUUUUAUGGACAGACUUUUUCUCUUAAUGAUAGAUUGAAGGAUUUAUUAAGAAAUUGGGAAGAACCACAUUACCAAGACUGACUGAUCAUGAAGAGAAUGAUCAGUUCCAAGUAUACAUCAAGAAAAGGUGUGUCAUCGAUUUCAUUUCUUCUCAAUGACUGUUGAAGACAGAAAAUGUCUCACCCUUG